GGGCGAAUGGUCUAGGGGUAUGAUACUCCCUUCGCAUAUUCUGACUUCUCAGAACAGCAUGGGAGGGGUCCGGGGUUCAAUUCCCCGUUCGUCCA